CCUACGGGAGGCAGCAGUGGGGGAUAUUGCACAAUGGGGGAAACCCUGAUGCAGCGACGCCGCGUGGGCGAAGAAGUAUUUCGGGAUGUAAAGCCCUAUCAGCAGGGAAGAAGAAAUGACUGUACCUGAGUAAGAAUCACCGGCUAACUACGUGCCAGCAGCCGCGGUAAUACGUAUGGUGCAAGCGUUAGCCGGAUUUACUGGGAGGAAUGGGCGCGCAGGCGGCGCGGCAAGCCAGAUGUGAAAGCCCGCGGCCCAACCGGGGGACUGCAUUGGGAACUACUGGGCUGGAGGGCAGGAGAGGUAGGCGGAAUUCCUAGUGUAGCGGUGAAAUGCGUAGAUAUUAGGAGGAACACCAGUGGCGAAGGCGGCCUACUGGACGGUGACUGACGCUGAGGCUCGAAAGCGUGGGGAGCAAACAGGAUUAGAUACCCGUGUAGUC
rnacentral:rRNA from 1 species